UCGAUGGGAAACAGGUUAAUAUUCCUGUACUUGGUGUUACUGCGAAGGGGGGACGGAGAAGGCUAUGUUGGCCGGGCGACGGUUGUCCCGGUUUAAGCGUGUAGGCUGGUUUUCCAGGCAAAUCCGGAAAAUCAAGGCUGAGGCGUGAUGACGAGGCACUACGGUGCUGAAGCAACAAAUGCCCUGCUUCCAGGAAAAGCCUCUAAGCAUCAGGUAACAUCAAAUCGUACCCCAAACCGACACAGGUGGUCAGGUAGAGAAUACCAAGGCGCUUGAGAGAACUCGGGUGAAGGAACUAGGCAAAAUGGUGCCGUAACUUCGGGAGAAGGCACGCUGAUAUGUAGGUGAAGCGACUUGCUCGUGGAGCUGAAAUCAGUCGAAGAUACCAGCUGGCUGCAACUGUUUAUUAAAAACACAGCACUGUGCAAACACGAAAGUGGACGUAUACGGUGUGACGCCUGCCCGGUGCCGGAAGGUUAAUUGAUGGGGUUAGCGCAAGCGAAGCUCUUGAUCGAAGCCCCGGUAAACGGCGGCCGUAACUAUAACGGUCCUAAGGUAGCGAAAUUCCUUGUCGGGUAAGUUCCGACCUGCACGAAUGGCGUAAUGAUGGCCAGGCUGUCUCCACCCGAGACUCAGUGAAAUUGAACUCGCUGUGAAGAUGCAGUGUACCCGCGGCAAGACGGAAAGACCCCGUGAACCUUUACUAUAGCUUGACACUGAACAUUGAGCCUUGAUGUGUAGGAUAGGUGGGAGGCUUUGAAGUGUGGACGCCAGUCUGCAUGGAGCCGACCUUGAAAUACCACCCUUUAAUGUUUGAUGUUCUAACGUUGACCCGUAAUCCGGGUUGCGGACAGUGUCUGGUGGGUAGUUUGACUGGGGCGGUCUCCUCCUAAAGAGUAACGGAGGAGCACGAAGGUUGGCUAAUCCUGGUCGGACAUCAGGAGGUUAGUGCAAUGGCAUAAGCCAGCUUGACUGCGAGCGUGACGGCGCGAGCAGGUGCGAAAGCAGGUCAUAGUGAUCCGGUGGUUCUGAAUGGAAGGGCCAUCGCUCAACGGAUAAAAGGUACUCCGGGGAUAACAGGCUGAUACCGCCCAAGAGUUCAUAUCGACGGCGGUGUUUGGCACCUCGAUGUCGGCUCAUCACAUCCUGGGGCUGAAGUAGGUCCCAAGGGUAUGGCUGUUCGCCAUUUAAAGUGGUACGCGAGCUGGGUUUAGAACGUCGUGAGACAGUUCGGUCCCUAUCUGCCGUGGGCGCUGGAGAACUGAGGGGGGCUGCUCCUAGUACGAGAGGACCGGAGUGGACGCAUCACUGGUGUUCGGGUUGUCAUGCCAAUGGCACUGCCCGGUAGCUAAAUGCGGAAGAGAUAAGUGCUGAAAGCAUCUAAGCACGAAACUUGCCCCGAGAUGAGUUCUCCCUGACUCCUUGAGAGUCCUGAAGGAACGUUGAAGACGACGACGUUGAUAGGCCGGGUGUGUAAGCGCAGCGAUGCGUUG
rnacentral:rRNA from 1 species